CUGGGGUCAGGACAUAGUGCAGGAGCAGGAUCAGGGCUCAGGGUCAAGGCUCAAUGUGCAACUGCAGUCAGGACACAGUGUGGGGUGAAGGUUGGGGCUCAGCUAGCACCAGAGUAGAGGCUGUGUCCAGGUUAAGACUGUAACGCAAGACAGAAAACACACACAGCCAUACGAGGCCACUGUCAGCCGUGCUGGGUAUCUUUAUUUAUUAAGCUUUAUUUUCUGUAGAAGCAAGGUUUUGCUAUGCUGUCCAGGCUGGUCUCGAACUCCUGGCCUCAAGUGAUCUUCCUGCCUCAGCCUCCCAAAGUGCUGUGAUUACAGGCAUGAGCCACUGUGCCCAGGCCAUGGUGGGUAUUUUUAAUGGACAAGAACCCAGAAUGAAGAUCUACAGAGGCUUCCUGGAGGUGGUGGGACUGAGGUCAUCUGGUUUGGCAGGAUGGAAGGCCAGCUUUCCCAGGGUGGAACCAUCAGAGUGGAGGCCCCGCCCAGAACCAACAGCAGCACCAUGCGCACCCAUAGAAGGGGUAGCCUGGAGGGAGGCCAGGCAGAGGCCCCAGACUAGCCAAGGCCCGGGCUGGUCCCACCUCCCGCUCCUGCUCGCUCCCGACGGCUGCCUAGGCUGGGGGGCUGCAGACUGUGCCCUGCCGCGCAGGGACUGGAGAUGUGGCAGCCCCGCCAAGGGAUCUCCCAAGAGUCAAAGGAGGUAAUGGAGGAAGAAGGAUCUGAAGACGCAGGGAAGUGCCCAGGCCCCCGCAGGGAGGCUGAAAGCAGCGGUGCCUGCCACGCCCGAGAAGCAGGCUCCAACUCACGUGCUCGUCAGCAGCCGCACUGCUGCCUGCUUUGUCAUUUUAUGCUUAUGUAAAAAAAUACUUUUUGCAAGAAAAAUCUACAGGUACAAAAUGUCAUCCCAGCCCCAUACAGUACCAAGUAAUAUAUAGGCAUAUAUAUAUAUAUAUAUAUAUUUAUGUAUUUAUAACAGAAAAUUGGAUAGAAAUUAUUCCA
rnacentral:lncRNA from 1 species